UCUUUUUGUUCUCAAAGACAUUCCAGCAGCUGCAUAUCUUUUCUUCCUGAUCUUUUAUUCCUACGAAUCUCUGUGAAGACAAGUUAUGUCAACAGCUACUUUAAUUAAUUUGGUACGAAACGGAGGGUAUCAAGUAAGAAGGAGAGCCGUGCUGACGUCCCGCCUCUUGCAAGACGAGAAGCGUCCGACAGCCGCCUGCUACAGCUCCACUUCUGAGCGCCGUGCUUCCCGCUUUGAUCCAGACGGGAGCGGGCGACCUACCACAUGGGACACCUUUGGCAUCUGGGACAAUCGCAUUGACGAACCUAUUCUCCUCCCACCAAGCAUAAAGUAUGGGAAGCCAAUUCCAAAAGUCAGCCUGGCCAACGUGGGCUGCGCUAGCCAUAUUGGGAAGCGUAAGGAAAAUGAAGACCGGUUUGAUUAUGCUCAGCUGACGGAGGAUAUCCUAUACUUUGCAGUAUAUGAUGGACAUGGCGGGGCAGCAGCAGCAGACUUCUGUGAUAAGUACAUGGAAAAAUAUAUUAAAGAAUUUCUUACUGAGGAGGAGAACUUGGAAAAUGUUUUGAACAAAGCUUUUCUAGAAAUAAACAAAGCAUAUGAAAGGCAUGCUCAUCUGUCUGCUGAUGCAACUCUGAUGAACUCUGGGACCACUGCAACAGUGGCUCUGCUCCGGGAUGGUAUUGAGCUGGUUGUGGCAAGUGUGGGAGACAGUCGUGCCCUGCUGUGUCGAAAGGGAAAGGCCAUGAAACUCACCAUUGACCAUACUCCAGAAAGAAAGGAAGAGAAGGAAAGGAUUAGGAAGUGCGGUGGCUUCAUUGCCUGGAACAGUUUGGGACAACCUCAUGUGAAUGGGAGACUUGCAAUGACGCGAAGCAUAGGAGAUUUGGAUCUUAAAAACAGUGGUGUGAUAGCCCAGCCAGAAACAAAAAGGGUUCAGUUGCAUCACGCAGAUGACAGCUUCCUGGUCCUUACCACAGACGGUAUUAAUUUCAUGGUGAACAGUCAGGAGAUCUGCGACUUCAUUAACCAGUGCCAUGAUCCUGCUGAAGCUGCCCAUGUUGUUACUGAGCAGGCAAUGCAAUUUGGCACUGAAGACAACAGCACAGUUGUCAUAGUGCCAUUUGGAGCGUGGGGAAAGUACAAAAAUGGUGAGAUCAACUUCUCCUUCAGCCGCAGUUUUGCUUCCAGCGGGAGGUGGGCGUGAAGACCUGCUACAGCUAUCUUUUGCUGCCAUAAUCUGGACACAGUGUGCUACAGGAGAACACAUCCAUCUGUUCAUAGGUUGACUCAGUGUCUUGUCCAUCUCUUCUGUUCCCAGUGUUACAGAAGAUGCCACUGCUCCCUUGAUUUUCCCCGGGGGUGGGGUUCAGUGUUCACCUGGGGUCAGAAUGUUUGCUGGUCGUGGUCCUGGGCUCAGCCUUGCUUACCUGAGGCAGAGGGGCACUUUUAGUUGUUACCAGCGAGAGCAGGUUCUCAGUCUGCGGCAAGUUUGAAGAGUCCCACAACCCAUUUGUGGCAAAAAUGGCAUAACGUAGCCUCUCUCAAGCACUUGAGGAGAGGUUGCACCUGACAGAGGUUCAGAGAGCUGCUUGGGGAACACGGUUAUGACCAGUUUGCACUGCAGCAUGAACAGCUGACAGCCUUUCUCCUGCCAAAGAAGUGACCUGCUAAAACGGCAAGUCUGAUAGUUCCUAGCAAAGGGUUAACCACAGCACACAGGAGUCUUACUCCUUACUCCGGGCACAGCGAAGGGUUAAGAGUCGAGCUCUGGAGAGGGAGUUGCUGUGGGGUGGCUUUGGUAUCAAGUGUCAAGACAGGCUUGAUCUGGUGCUGGUGCUGCCGGGAUUUGGACAAGCUCCAUCGAUGCUGUCCUGUUCCAAAUGCUGCUCACUUCUGAUCGGCUGGCUAGCCUUCUAUCCAGACAGAAGAUAUUAAGGGCGCUGGGGGUGUUUGUGACACGUACACAUUGAUUUUUUUGAGCAGUGCUGGAUACUUGCCAAGCUGAAGACAUGGUAUUAAAUGCAGGCUGCUAAUGAAAAACAUUGCAAAUGAAAAGCAGGUGCUCAGAGGAAUGACCUGGUGGUUAGAGUAGCUUCUAAUCAUUGACCCAGAUGUAACAUGAAAUGACAGUUUUUCUCCUCAUUGGAGGUUUUGGGGCAUAUUUUUGUUUUAUCCCUAUCUUGUUGCCUGACAGAGAACAAAAGUGGUUGGGUGCUUUUAUUUCUUCUAAUGGAGUGGUUAGCCUCUCAGAGGAAAGAUCCAUCCAUAACUUCUUUUAAGUUUUAUAAAGGAAGGGAUAAGACAAAGCUUUGCAAAAUAGGAGAUGAUUAGAGAAACGUAUUGGCAGUUGCUAUUGCUGCCUUUAUACAAUCACAUAAAAACUUAGAUUGGAAAGGACUUCUGGGUGUCAUCUAGCCUAGCCUCCUGCUCAAAGCAGGGCUAACUUCAGAAUUGCAUACUGCAGUGAAGGGAUGUCUCCUGACAUGGAAAUGCAGUGCCUGAAAGUGGAUGGGAGAAAGAAUUUAGCAUGCAGUGUGGUUUACCUGUGGAACCACUUAAUUAUAUUGAAGUUGAAAACUUACCAGUAUUUCACAGGCACUUUGUAUAGCUACCAAUAAACUUCACAAAUAAAUUAGCAUGUACAUAAAACUAAUAUAUGAGCCAUUUUGCUCUAAGCAAAAACGAAUCAGUAACUGACAGGAAAUUACAGAGGUACAUUUCUUACGUACAAGUUAUUCCCUGCCUGUCCACUCUAGUUUUCUGCAUCUCAUUCUGAAGUAAAUGAGCUACUAAUGAAGAGGAAAUGCUUUGCCAAGUGGCCCAAUAGUCUGCCUGUUCCUUCUUCCAUUAAGUACAGAGGUACCUUUACACUAAUUUGUGUGGAUUCCCUAUUUCCUGCUGCACAUGACAAGACUCUGAGUGCCAGCUUGAAAAGCAUAGUGUUUUGUAGAAAUGCCAUUACCAGCAUUGUUGGUUUCUGCCUCCUGAACCACAAUGCUGCUUUUUCCUACCAAGAUGACAGUGAACUGCCCUAAGAUUUAGUGGCAGCUGCACCAAACCUUGUUUUUCUCCAAGAAAUUGGGAAAACCCUGCCAUUUCUUGGGUGAUGGAUUUUUCAUGAUUUGACACUUCUCACUGAAGAGUCAGAAUAAGUCCCUGCCCUUGCAUCAGUUUUGGGGCUGUUUUGACACAUACUGUGUUGGCACAGUGAGCUUUGCCCACGCAUUCAUGUGUUGAGACAGAGGUGUAUGGCACUGAAUUUGGAGUGUAUGGACUAUGAAGUCAGUGGAGUAAAGCCAUGUUGGGGAAAAUGGAAAUGGUUUGUCGUAGCGGUAACAAGGGAUCAAAUUAGCAGUGCUGUGGUAACAUCUGGCCAGCAAACCUCUUGGCAUAGGGGCAUAGUACCACCAGAGCUAGGUACUGCUCUGCUGUGAUGAAGCUGUACUUUGUGGUGGGUUGACCUUGGCUGGCUGCCAGGUGCCCACACCAAGCUGCUCUAUCAAUUC